rnacentral:lncRNA from 1 species
CUUUUUUUUUUUUUUUUUUUUUUUUGUUUGCACAUAAGUAUAUAAUAUAUAUAUAUAUAUAUAUGCAAAUCAAAUGCAUUAAAUAUAUUUUUAAAAAAUUUUUCUUUUUUCUUUGCUAUGUACAAUAAAGUAUGAAUGAAAAUGAAAAAUUAAAAAAAAUUUUAGACGAAAAUGAAGAUUUACUUGAAACUCAAGAAGAAAACGAAGAAGAAAAAGGAUCAUUAGUUGAAAAUGCAGAUAAAAAAUUUAAAAGUAUUUCUAAACAAGAUUUUGAAAUACUUAAAUUUUUAAAUAAGGACGAGUUAAUUUUGUUAAUUGAUAAACUUAAUAAGAAAGGAACACUUACCAAAUUAAUAGAAGAAGAAAUAAAACAUGAAACGAUUGAUACUCUUAAAAAUUACGAAAAUGAACAAUAUGACACGGUCGAACUAAAUGAAAAAGAUGCACCAGAAAAAGAAGAAGAAAAUGAGGAGGAGGAAAUGAAAGAAAACCCUUACAUAAAUCUGUGCAAAAUAAUACCAUUAAGACUAACAUAUGAAGAACGGUUAUAUUUAAGACUGCUAGAGAGUACUUUAGAAGUAAGUGAGUAUACAGAUAAGAUUGAUAUAUUUCAUAGUGGAAAUAAAAAUAAAAAAAUUGUAAAAGAGAUAAAAACAAUAUGCUCUAUUUUAUCAGGGUUAGUUAUAGCUAAUAAUUAUGAACUAGGUCAAAAACUAAUUCGUGAUAAAGAUUUUUUAAAGAAUAGUGGUUUUUUUAGUUUUGUUUUUGAAAUAGGAAGAAGAUACAAGAUAUUGAAUCCAGAUCGCAUGCGGAGUAGUUAUGGUAAAUUAAUGUAUUUUUUAAUGGAUACAAGAAGAGAAGAUAUAUAUAAUUUAUUAUCAUUCAAUUGUGUAACUCCUAUAAAAACAGUUUAUGAUUUAUUAAAAAAUAAAAAAAAUGGAUUAGAAUUAUUGAAUGAUAACUUAAUUAAAAUAGCUACUAUGGAAAUAAAUACCAAUCAAAGUAGAAAUGAAAUACAAAAACAAAUAAAACAAAAAGAAGAAGCUAUUAAAUAUUUAGCACGGAAAUAUUCUUGUACUAAUCAAAAUAAUAAAAAAAACAUAUUCAGAUUAAAUAUACCUAUAUUUAAUAAUCAAAAUAUGGAAAAUGACAUAAAUAAAAAUGAGGAAUUAGAAUAUUUAGCUCCUGAAGAAAUAGAAAGAUGUUUAUACAGCUUAUGUGAUUAUAAUACACAUGUUAAAAUGUUUUGCGAACCUUGUGAAAUUAUGAUAAAUUUUUUAAAAACAUAUUAUGAUCCUUAUGAAAAAAACUCAUCCUAUUCUUUAUCUAUAGAGUCAGGGAAACAAGGAAGUAGAUUGACGCAUUCACAUAAUAGGCAAUAUAUGUAU